rnacentral:lncRNA from 1 species
UAGAAACUUUCUUAAUUUGACGGGCAGCGUCAUGCAGGACCCUAAAAUAAACAUUGCGUGUAUCAGGGAUCCAGGGAAAGACGGGCCAGGCCCUGGGCAUCGCAGCGGGGACACCGCACUGAGAGCUUGGCCUCGGCAACGAGACCCAGGAAGGAGGCGCAUUAGGAAGAUGUGGUGUCUGCCGUGGCCGCGGGACGACUCACCCCGGAUUCAGAUAGUCCACACAACAGCCAGGCACUCGACAGAUUUCUCAUUUAUUCAACAAAUAUUGGCCGAGGAACCGCCCGCCUUCCACCCAGCCUGCAGGUCUUGGCGCAAAUGUCAGCUCCCUUCUGAGGCGUUUCCCUAGCGCCCUCUCCUUGUCUCCUGUUGUGAUUCACCUAUUUUAAAAUUAAAAAUGGC